CUGCGCGAAGCGAACCGAACUGUGUGUGAAAAUUAAUUGUUAAUGUGGUGUCUAGUAUCGAAACUAUAAAGUAUAACCAAUAACGUUUAAUAGCUGUCGAUAGAUAUAUAAACAAGUUGUUAAUUAUCUGAAUGUGAUUAUAAAAUGGGUUUUCAGUUGUUGCCUACAUUUAAAUCGUGUUGUUUUUGUCUUUCCUUGAGGAAGGGAUCGCUAACGAUUGGAUAUGUUUCAGCUGCGAUCUGUACAUUUGCAUUGGUCAUUAUUUCAUUAUCUUUGUACAGAGUUAUAAAUUUUGUAAACUUGAAAAAGGAUGACGCCACUUAUACAGAACAUACACCGGAAGAAUUGAAAAAAAUUGCCAUCAGUUUAUAUAUCACACAUGCUUAUUUGAUUACGGUGUUUUUUUAUAAUAUCAUAAUUUGCAUUAUUUUAGUUAUUGGUGUGCAUAAGAGUAACACAAAGUUUAUGCGGGAUUAUUUUAAAGCUGGGUUGUUUUUAUUAUUAUUAGCUCUUGCUAAUGUAGUCGUAUCAACGGUUUUUCUACAUUACGCAGUAACACUCAUGCUAUUAAUGUGGAGCGUGGUAAUAUUUUACUGUCUUAUUAUUGUACGAAGCUGUUAUCUGGAAAUAGAAGAAGAAAAUAAGCCUCCAUCGUUCGAAAUGCAAAAUUUAUACAAUCCGCCAAGACAUCCACCACAUUUUUAUGCAUAGACAAAGAAU